ensembl:lncRNA
ACAAUGUGUUAGUUUCAGGUGUAAGGCAAAGUGAAACAAUUAUACAUAUACAUAUACCCACUCUUUUUUUUCGGUGCAAAAGGUACCUUUCCCAUAUAGGCCAUUACAGAGUAUUGAGUAGAGCUACCAGUUCCCAGUUGGUCUUCAUUAGCUAUCUAUGCUAUGUAUGCAUGUGAGUGCUAAGUCAAUUCAGUCUUUACCACCCUAUGGACUGUAGCCCACCAGGCUCCUGUGUCCAUGGGAUUCUCUAGGCAAGAAUGCUGGAAUGGGUUGCCAUACCCUCCUCCAGGGUCUUCCUGACCCAAGGAUCAAACCUGUGUCUCUUCUAUCUCCUGCAUUGACAGGCACGUGCUAGGAGUGAAGGAUUCAGAGAUACGUAAGACUCCCUCCCUCCAGGAAUCCAUGAUCUAGUGAGGGAGAGAAACAUCAAUGUCAUGACAUAAACGCAGAACCCUCGCUCCCAGAAGAUCUUUUGAAUCAAACCAACGUUGGAGCCAAGCAAUUACACCAUGAAAGGCACGGUUCCUGUAUUUUGGAUGGCAUCAGCCCUGGCUGCCCAGCUUUGCUCAGCUUGCCUCUCUAGGGGUUCCAUUUUCACUUUACUCCGUCCACUCAAAGUGAGUGGUCUUAUUCUAAGAUCUUUCAACUGGGCUCGUCCUCAAAAUAAGCUGAAGACAAAAAAUGACACCAGCGUUCCCAGCCAAAGCCCUAAAAGUGGCCGAUUUAUACAUAGUGUUCUUUUUUAAAAAGGGC